rnacentral:rRNA from 1 species
UACAGAGGGGGCAAGCGUUGUUCGGAAUUAUUGGGCGUAAAGCGCGCGUAGGCGGCUCGGAAAGUCGGGCGUGAAAUGCCGGGGCUCAACCCCGGGACUGCGUCCGAUACUUCCGGGCUGGAGGUAGGUAGGGGAGAUCGGAAUUCCUGGUGUAGCGGUGAAAUGCGCAGAUAUCAGGAGGAACACCGGUGGCGAAGGCGGAUCUCUGGGCCGUACCUGACGCUAAAGCGCGACAGCAUGGGGAGCAAACGGG